UACAGAGGUCUCAAGCGUUGUUCGGAUUCAUUGGGCGUAAAGGGUGCGUAGGUGGCGUCGUAAGUCGGGUGUGAAAUUUCGGAGCUUAACUCCGAAACUGCAUUCGAUACUGCGGUGCUUGAGGACUGGAGAGGAGACUGGAAUUUACGGUGUAGCAGUGAAAUGCGUAGAGAUCGUAAGGAAGACCAGUGGCGAAGGCGGGUCUCUGGACAGUUCCUGACACUGAGGCACGAAGGCCAGGGGGAGCAAACGGG
rnacentral:rRNA from 1 species